ensembl:snoRNA SNORA70 Small nucleolar RNA SNORA70
CUGCAGUCAAUGAAGCUGACCGUGCUGCCCUCCCCAUGGCGCCCCGUGUGCAGUGGCUGCCAACAGCAGCCGCCUGGCCGUGUGUGCAGCUGUUGCUUGUAUAGCUGCUCUGAGGGGCCCUGGAGAUAGCC